rnacentral:rRNA from 1 species
UACGAAGGGGGCUAGCGUUGUUCGGAAUUACUGGGCGUAAAGCGCGCGUAGGCGGUUUUGCAAGCCAGAGGUGAAAUGCCUGAGCUCAACUUAGGAAUUGCCUUUGGGACUGCGAGGCUUUGAGGACUGGAGAGGUGAGUGGAAUUCCGAGUGUAGAGGUGAAAUUUGUAGAUAUUCGGAAGAACACCAGUGGCGAAGGCGACUCGCUGGACAAGUAUUGACGCUGAGGUGCGAAAGCGUGGGGAGCAAACAGG